ACGAAGCCACAGCAAGAAGUCCGCAGCGCUUACUGCUUUGUAUGGAAGGGAGUAUGGUGACCCAAGUUGGCAUCAAAAAGGUUCAUUGAAGACCAGCACAGGGUUGAGUAACCCGUACCCAGUGCUGUACAUAAUGGUCAAAUAUUUUUUUUUCGCACAGCGGUAACUAAGAGUGAAAGAGGUCUACUGAAGAGCGGCACACAUUGCCACAUAUUCAGUGAACCAAGUUGGCCCGUUCGAGCAUGGACUUUCCCAGCAUCCACAGGAGGCGGGCCCAAUCCUGGUUAACCACCCCUGGCUGCAGGCGCACGUGCACAGAUUUACUGCCGGGGGUCGCCACCAAUACGACAUGGAACCACAGGUCGAGGCGCCAAUUGAGGGACAGGUCAACGAGUACGAGCAGCGGGUCUGUGGUAACGUCGGCCGGCGCGGGUCGUGGCCAGAACAAGCCCCUGCAAUGGGUCAUGUGGCGGAAUGCCCUCAGCUUCAUUGUGUGGUCUUCGUUUCCGCGUAUGGCUUCAAUGCAGCUGCGGUACAGCUUUGCAGCAUGGCCGAUGAAGUCCUUGCCGUACUGCUGGUCCAGUAGGAGUGCAGCCCUGCGAAAAUUAC